GCUUGCAGCCAGAGGGGACAGGACACUGAGUGAGGGGCAGCUCUCCCAUCCCUCUCUCUGCCCAGCCAGGGUUCAGCCUGGAGUGCUGAGCCCCAGGAAGCUACUCUUCUGGCCUGGACAGCCUCAGCAGGGAUAUGAAGGGUUAGGAGGACCCUGGCAUGGGGACAGGACCUAUGAGCAGGCCAGACCAUGCCAUUACCUUGUGGCGACAGUGGCAACUUCCUUGAAAGACUGUCUUACGGGAUUAGAAAUCCCAUGUAAAGCAUCAGCACCUGAACACUCCAGAGGAGUGAACACUCCACGGCUACUGUUGUCAUGGCAAUGAAGAUACUACAGAGGAAGAGAUGGCUCCUGGACUGGUCCCUGCCAUGCUCCACUCUCCUACUUUCCUGCCUGGUCUUGCCCAGCUGGAUCCCAAGAAAUAAAAGGAAUGGGACCUGCCCUCUCCAGAUUGGUCGUUUUUAGAAAAUCUUUCUGGUGCCAUAUUCAUCUUUCCUGGGUCUCAUCUGCAAAGUGAGCGGUGGGGGCCACCCCAGGGCUCAUAAGCAUUGGGGUGGUAUAUCCCAAUCCUUGAAGAGUGUUUGAAUGAAGACAGGAGGAGGGCCUCCCACAAGGCCCCCAAAGCUGACUUUUGUGGGGCAGGGUGGGGCAUUUCUAACUUCAUAAGCUCUCCAGGUCUCUAGGAGCCACUGGCCAAGUGGCAGAGCAGGUGUCUGCUACACUACUCCUGCUUUAGGACACAUUUAUCCCUCAAACAGAAUUGCAGACUGGCACUGCCCUGGGAUAGCUCUUAAGGAUCAUUCUACACUCCAGAGAAAACUGAGGAACAGGCAGGCCAGGCUCCAGCCACAGCUCAUGGCCUCAAACAGGCUCCAUUGGCACAGAGCUGCCUGGUCCUUCCUUCAUGGUCCUUGACCCAGACCCAGUGUCCCCCACCCCUCCCUGUCUCUACAUGUCCAGUGACUGGUCUGUACUGCUCAUACCCUCUACCAGCCUCUGACACAACGGGACACAAAGAAUGGAUUCAGCAAUUUGGCCUCUGUGUGUGGCAUUGGCCUUGAUGCCUCUCUAGAGCCCUUAGUUCUCAACAUAACCUCGUGUGACAGGUGCCCAGGGCUCUCUCUGCCUGGUGGUUUAUUGAGGCAGACCCCAGCAUGGACUGCGUCAGCAUGAGUACACCUGGGACAACCAGUUCUGGGAUUGCCCAAGACACAAAGAUGGCGCCCAGUGGACCAUCUUGCCCAUCCUGGAGACAGAAAAGCCCCUUAACCACUAGCUGGCACAAUGUGACCUGCUCCGAUGACUCAGGGUCACUCAGCAUGCUACUACUUCUGAUGGGGUGGUGCUGAUCUUCCUCUGGGUGCAUGAGCACUGAAGGCUGGUAGAUCUACAAGACAGAGGUUGUGGCAGGAAAGGAAGAAAAGAACCA